rnacentral:misc_RNA from 1 species
AAGUCGUAACAAGGUUUCCGUAGGUGAACCUGCGGAAGGAUCAUUACCGAAUUGUCAACACGAGUUGUUGCUGGUCCUCAAACGGGGGCAUGUGCACGCUCUGUUCACACAUCCACUCACACCUGUGCACCCUCUGUAGUUCUGUGGCCUGGGGGUCUCUGCCCUCUUGCUGUGGUUCUAUGUCUUUACACACACACCGUACUAAAGUCUCAUGGAAUGCACAUCGCGUUUAACGCAAUACAAUACAACUUUCAGCAACGGAUCUCUUGGCUCUC